rnacentral:rRNA from 1 species
CCGACGGUGAGAGGCGAAAGCUGGGGGAGCAAACCGGAUUAGAUACCCGGGUAGUCACAGCUGUAAACGAUGCGCGUUAGGUGUGUUAGUGACCACGUGUCACUGAUGUGCCGAAGGGAAACCGUGAAACGCGCCGCCUGGGGAGUACGGUCGCAAGGCUGAAACUUAAAGGAAUUGGCGGGGGAGCACCACAACGGGUGGAGCCCGCGGUUUAAUCGGACUCAACGCCGGAAAUCUCACCGGAUAA